UACGAAGGGGGCUAGCGUUGCUCGGAAUUACUGGGCGUAAAGCGCACGCAGGUGGCUGAGUCAGUCGAUUGUGAAAGCCCUGGGCUUAACCUGGGAAUUGCAGUCGAUACUACUCAGCUAGAGUAUGGGAGAGGGUAGUGGAAUUCCCGGUGUAGCGGUGAAAUGCGUAGAUAUCGGGAGGAACAUCAGUGGCGAAGGCGGCUACCUGGCCCAAUACUGACACUCAGGUGCGACAGCGUGGGGAGCAAACAGG
rnacentral:rRNA from 1 species